AGCACUGAGGGCUGAUGGGAAUUCAACCUUUGGUGCUGGUGAAGGUGUUGUGUGGAUGAACAAAGUCGAGUGCAGAGGGAAUGAGAUUCACCUGUGGGACUGUCCUCUCUCCCUGAAUAACCACACUGACUGCUCACACAAAGAGCACGCUGGACUCACCUGUGAAGGUCAUAGCCAAACAAAAAAGGGAGAUCAGGAGGAGGAUGAUAACGUGAAGAACACAAUGAAGAUGAGAAAAACCUAGACUAUGAUGAAAUGGAGGAGGAGUCAAACAAAGAAGGAGGGGCCAUAUGACUCAGUGACCACACCUACUAUCUCUUCCAUUGAAAUCAUAUCACAGAUACUGGAGCUACUGGGACUUUCUUAUAUUGCUACUAAUGCAUCAAUGGCUUUUUGUUAUUUCAUUUUUAUUUUUUAAUAAAAAAAUUUCAUGCUUUACAAAAUUUGGUAACAACAAAUUUUAGUAUUUGUGCAUUUAAGUUUUUAGCUUAUUAUUUUUAUACUGAUAUUAAUACUUUUUACCUAAUGAACAAAUAAGCAAAUUAUAUAAUCCAUUCAUUCUAUUUACCACAUUUUGUAAAGAUCAGUUAUUGUAAAGCAAAGACAGAUAGCAAAGAUUUAUUGCACACUUCAUGUAAAAUGUGAUUAAAAAAUAAAUAAAUUCAAACACACAUUUAUACACCUGUCCCAACUGCAGAGUUUACUGUGUGAUGGUGCACUUCAACUUUAAAAUGGUUUCAAUAACUUUGAACCGUGUCUUGUCUUUGUAGUUGAUUACUGUAUUUUCAUUGAGUUUAAUUAUUUUGCAGAAAUAACUUAAUCUGCAGGUUAAGUUUGUUGUUGUUGCUUUUAUUCAACCUUUUUUUAUUUCUUCAGAGUCUCCACCUGUUGAGCUGAGGGCUGAGGGUUUUUCUUUUAAAGUUUCGUGAGAUAUUAUUUUAUUUAAAUUUUUUACUUAGACAAUAAUGUAGUGUAUGAUGACAAACCUCCUGAUAUAUAGUUUUAUUUAGUUUUAUAAAAAAAAAUUCUCUAGACUUGUUGUCUUUUUUUCAUGGUUUAU